rnacentral:rRNA from 1 species
UACGUAGGGGGCAAGCGUUGUCCGGAUUUAUUGGGCGUAAAGAGCGUGUAGGCGGCUAGAUAGGUCCGUUGUGAAAACUCGAGGCUCAACCUCGAGACGUCGAUGGAAACCAUCUGGCUAGAGUCCGGAAGAGGAUAGUGGAAUUCCUGGUGUAGCGGUGAAAUGCGCAGAUAUCAGGAAGAACACCCGUGGCGAAGGCGGCUCUCUGGUACGUGACUGACGCUGAGACGCGAAAGCGUGGGGAGCAAACAGG